rnacentral:lncRNA from 1 species
GGUACAUGGAAAACGUGAAAGAGGUGCGUCGUGCACGCGGAGGGCUGAACGUGGGCGAUGUGGAGGCUGUCGAACGUGGGGCAUGCGGCGCUAUCUGCUGCUAACUGCUUAGGGUUUCUCCCUUGGGCUAUAUUGUAGUUGGGCUUGGGUUUAGGUUAAUGGGCUUGUAGUUUGGGUUAUUUGGGUUAAAUGUAUUUAUUUUUAGUAUUUGGUUUGUGUAAAUGAUUUUGGGCCCCGGGCAAUAAUUGGGUAUUAC